rnacentral:rRNA from 1 species
GAUAAACGCUGGCGGCGCACAUAAGACAUGCAAGUUGAACGGACUUAAUCGAACUAUUUAUAUUUUGAAGCGGUUAGUGGCGGACUGGUGAGUAACGCGUAAGGAACCUGCCUAUUAGAGGGGAAUAACAGUGAGAAAUCAUUGCUAAUACCGCAUAUGCCAUAGAUAUCACAUGAUAACAGUGGGAAAGGAGCAAUCCGCUAAUAGAUGGCCUUGCGUCUGAUUAGAUAGUUGGUGGGGUAACGGCCUACCAAGUCGACGAUCAGUAGCCGGACUGAGAGGUUGAACGGCCACAUUGGGACUGAGAUACGGCCCAGACUCCUACGGGAGGCAGCAGUCGGGAAUAUUGCGCAAUGGAGGAAACUCUGACGCAGGGACGCCGCGUAUAGGAAGAAGGUUUUCGGAUUGUAAACUAUUGUCGUUAGGGAAGAGAAAGGACAGUACCUAAGGAGGAAGCUCCGGCUAACUACGUG